rnacentral:rRNA from 1 species
AUUGAACGCUAGCGGCAGGCCUAACACAUGCAAGUCGGACGGUAGCACAGAGAGCUUGCUCUCGGGUGACGAGUGGCGGACGGGUGAGUAAUGUCUGGGGAUCUGCCCGAUAGAGGGGGAUAACCACUGGAAACGGUGGCUAAUACCGCAUAACGUCGCAAGACCAAAGAGGGGGACCUUCGGGCCUCUCACUAUCGGAUGAACCCAGAUGGGAUUAGCUAGUAGGCGGGGUAAUGGCCCACCUAGGCGACGAUCCCUAGCUGGUCUGAGAGGAUGACCAGCCACACUGGAACUGAGACACGGUCCAGACUCCUACGGGAGGCAGCAGUGGGGAAUAUUGCACAAUGGGCGCAAGCCUGAUGCAGCCAUGCCGCGUGUAUGAAGAAGGCCUUCGGGUUGUAAAGUACUUUCAGCGGGGAGGAAGGCGAUGUGGUUAAUAACCGCGUCGAUUGACGUUACCCGCAGAAGAAGCACCGGCUAACUCCGUGCCAGCCGCCGCGGUAA